UCCCUGGUGGCUCAGAUGGUAAAGCAUCUGCUUGCAAUGCAGGAGACCCAGGUUCAAUCCCUGGGUUAGGAA
rnacentral:tRNA from 1 species